CUCAACUGAUUAUUAAAAUCCCUUAAGUCACUUUAAAAUUACAAAUUUCUUAGCCCAUACAGCAAAGACUUUGGAGAUAAAAAAUGUACCUUGAGCCUCUGUUGGCUAAAAAAUGUUCAGAAGACUAGACGCUUAAGGAAAUUCCCCUUGUUUUCCUAACUCACUUGGAUAAUAAUACCAAGGAAUUAGUCCUUCUACUUCCAAUCCAUUCCUGUGCUUCCAAACGUCUACUCAGGUGAGGAGGAGUAUGCUAGAUCAAGAUGGAAUAGAAGUCCCUGAUCUCUUGCUCCUUGUUCAUCUGACUAUUGUAUUGUGGACCAGGAGAUUGGAGGCAUGUUCUACUGCUCUCCUUUACCCCCUGGACAACAGCCUUAAGUUCUGUGCAUUCUCCCACUCUCACUGAGUUAUUCAGGCCUCAGCAAGCCACCUUUCCUUUCCUUUGUUCUUAGCUGCCCCAAUGUAUGUGAACUACACCAAUUCUAUCAGUGUCCCAUAUGAGAGGCAAGACAGAUGCUGGCCAGGGAUGGUGCACCCAUGCUUCACCCUCUCGUUUCCCCCCCUGGAGAAGAAGUCAUGGGCCAAGGUGAUGAGCUUUCUCAGAUUGGGGGAAAAGCUGAUGAAGCAGGUCAAAUAAAAUUGUCAUUCUUAUUCUCUCUCAA